AAUCAACGCUGGCGGCGUGCCUCAGACAUGCAAGUCGAACGCGAAAGUUCCCUUCGGGGGAGCAAGUAGAGUGGCGCACGGGUGAGUAACACGUAGGUAAUUUGCCUUCGGGUGGGGAAGUAACAGUCGGAAACGACUGCUAAUACCGCAUAAUGCAGCGGCUCGACAUCGAGACAGGUUGUUAAAGGCGGGGGAUCCUUCGGGACCUCGCGCCUGAAGAGAAGCCUGCGGCAGAUUAGGCUAGUUGGUGAGGUAAUGGCCCACCAAGGCUACGAUCUGUAACCGGCCUGAGAGGGCGGUCGGUCACACU
rnacentral:rRNA from 1 species